rnacentral:rRNA from 1 species
UACGUAGGGUCCGAGCGUUGUCCGGAAUUAUUGGGCGUAAAGAGCUCGUAGGCGGUUUGUCGCGUCUGCUGUGAAAUCCCGAGGCUCAACCUCGGGCCUGCAGUGGGUACGGGCAGACUGGAGUGCGGUAGGGGAGAAUGGAAUUCCUGGUGUAGCAGUGGAAUGCGCAGAUAUCAGGAGGAACACCGAUGGCGAAGGCAGUUCUCUGGGCCGUAACUGACGCUGAGGAGCGAAAGCGUGGGGAGCGAACAGG